GUGCUUGCUUUGGCAGCACACAUGCUAAAAUCAGAACUAGGCAGAGAAGAUGAGCAUGGCCCCCGUGCCAGGAUGACACAUCAGUUGAUGAAGUCUUCCAUAUUUUU
ensembl:snRNA U6 U6 spliceosomal RNA